rnacentral:rRNA from 1 species
AUGUCGGAGGCGUCCUCUUCCUCGGCGCCGGCCCCGGCCCCGGCCCCGCCCCCUGCGCCGGCGCUGGAUCCGGAGGCGAUCUCCCUCAUGGCGGAGGAGGCGCCGCCGGAGGAGAUUACGCUGGUCGUGAAGUGGAGCGGGAAGGAGUACACGGUGCGGGCGAUGGGGGACGACACGCUGUUGGAGCUGAAGCGGCGCAUCUGCGAGUUCACCGACGUGCUCCCCAAACGCCAGAAGCUUCUCUACCCCAAGCUCAUACUCAACGACGAGUCCGUCCUCCUCUCCUCCCUCCCCUUCAAGCCCAACGGCAAGCUGACCAUGAUCGGUACUGUUGAAGACGAAAUAUUUGUGGACCGACCAGAUGAUCCAGAGGUGCUCGAUGAUUAUGAAAUUUUCAAAGAUGAAGUUACUGCUAUCAAGGAUAAUGUUCUCUACAAGCAAAAAGUGAAACGUCGUGCAAGCCAGUAUAAGAUCAAGCUCUUGAAUCCAUGCCGCGAAGGAAAAAGAUUGCUUGUGUUAGACAUUGACUAUACUCUGUUUGACCAUAGGUCUCCAGCUGAGAAUCCUUUGGAACUCAUGCGUCCAUUUCUCCACGAAUUUCUUGCUGCUGCAUAUGCAGAGUAUGAUAUCAUGAUAUGGUCAGCAACAAAUAUGAAAUGGGUGCAGCUGAAGAUGGAGCAACUUGGAGUUCUUAGCAACCCCAACUACAAGAUCACCGCGCUUCUGGAUCACAUGGCGAUGAUAACUGUGCAUGCUCCUGACAAGAAGGUUUUCGACUGCAAACCUCUUGGUGUCAUCUGGACCAAGUUCCCCGAGCACUACAACGAGAAGAACACGAUCAUGUUUGAUGACCUCAGGAGGAAUUUCGUGAUGAACCCACAGAACGGCCUCGUGAUCAGACCGUUCAAGAACGCCAGUAAGAACCGAGGCCGCGAUCAGGAGCUGCGAAAGCUUACGCAGUACCUGCUCUCCAUUGCAGAGCUAGAAGAUUUCAGCAAGCUGGAGCACGACGGUUGGGAGUCCUUCAUGGACGAAACCGGCAAGAGACGCAGGCGCAGGUAG